UACGUAGGGGGCAAGCGUUGUCCGGAAUCAUUGGGCGUAAAGAGCGUGUAGGCGGCUUGGUAAGUCCGCUGUGAAAGUCCAGGGCUCAACCCUGGAAAGCCGGUGGAAACUGUCAAGCUUGAGUCCGGAAGAGGCGAGUGGAAUUCCUGGUGUAGCGGUGAAAUGCGCAGAUAUCAGGAGGAACACCGGUGGCGAAGGCGGGUCUCUGGGCCGAUACUGACACUGAGGAGCGAAAGCGUGGGGAGCGAACAGG
rnacentral:rRNA from 1 species